GCUGUACUGGAUGACUGUGUGAUAACACUCUCGGUAGCCGAUGUGAACAAAACCUUUAAACAGGUCAAGAUUCACAAAGCCGCUGGGCCAGAUGGAUUACCAGGACGUGUACUCAAAGCAUGCGCGGACCAACUGUCAAGUGUCUUCACUGACAUUUUCAACCUCUCGCUGACCAAGUCUGUAAUAGCAACAUGUUUCAAGCAGACCACCAUAGUUCCUGUGCCCAAGGAAGCGAAGGUAACCUGCCUAAAUGAUUACCGCCCGUAGCACUCAGGUUGGUAGCCAUGAAGUGCUUUGAAAGGCUGGUCAUGGCUCACAUCAACAGCAUCCAAUUCGUAUACUGCCCCAACAGAUCCACAGACGAUGCAAUCUCAAUCGCACUCCACACUGCCCUUUCCCACCUGGACAAAAGGAACACCGAUGUGAGAUUGCUGUUCAUUGACUACAGCUCAGCGUUCAACACUCAUAGUGCCCUCAAAGCUCAUCACUAAGCUAAGGACUCUGGGACUAAACACCUCCCUCUGCAACAGGAUCCUGGACUUCCUGACGGGCCGCCCCCAGGUGGUAAGGGUAGGCAACAACACGUCUGCAACGCUGAUCCUUAACACUGGGGCCCUUCAGGGAUGUGUACUUAGUCCCCCCCUGUACUCCCUGUUCACCCACGACUGCGUGGCCAAACACGAUUCCAACACCAUCAUUAAGUUUUCAGACGACAACGAUGAGCCAGCCAAUAGGGAAGAGGUCAGAGAACUGGCAGUGUGGUGCCAGGACAACAUCCUCUCCCUCAAUGUGAGCAAGACAAAGUAGCUGAUCUUGAACUUCAGGAAAAGGCAUGCCGAAUAGGCCCCCAUUAACAUGGGCUGUAGUGGAGCGGGUCGAGAGUUUCAAGUUCUUUCGUGUCCACAUCACCAACGAACUAUCAUGGUCCAAACACACCAAGACAGUUGUGUAGAAGGCACAACAAAACCUUUUCCACCUCAGGAGACUGAAAAGAUUUGGCAUUGGUCCCCGAUCCUCAAAAGGUUCUACAGCUGCACCAUCGAGAGCAUCCUGACUGGUUGCAUCACCACCUGGUAUGGAAUCUGCUCGGCAUCUGACCGUUAGGCGCUACAGAGGGUAGUGCGUACGGUCCAGUACAUCACUGGAGCCAAACUUCCUGCCAACCAGGACCUAUAUUUUAUUUUAUUUCACCUUUAUUCAACCAGGUAAGCUAGUUGAGAACAAGUUCUCAUUUGCAACUGCGACCUGGCCAAGAUAAAGCAUAGCAGUUCCACACAUACAAAUAUAAUAGGCGGUGUCAGAGGAAAGUGCAUAAAAUUGUCAGAGACUCUAGUCAUCCAGGUUAGACUGUUUUCUCUGCUGCCGCACGGCAAACGGUACCGGAGCACCAAGUCUUGGACCAAAAGGCUCCUCAACAGCUUACCCCCAUGAUAUAAUACUGCCAAACAAUUAAUAACCCCCCCCCGGUACCCCCUGUAUAUAGCCUCAUUAUUCUUGUGUUACUAUUUUAUUUUUUACUUGUCUAUUUGGUAAAUAUGUCCUCGCCAUUUUCUUAACUCUUGAACUGCACUGUUGGUUAAGGGUUUGUAAGUAAGCAUUUCACGGUAAGGUCUACACUUGUAUUCGGCGCAUGUGACAUAUACAGUUUGAUUUGAUUCUAUGGCCAGUUGUCCUGUGAAACAGACCUGGACCGCUAUCUGGAGUCUCAACUCCCUGUGGCGCUUGUAUAACAGAGAUGCCCAUAGUCAUCAACACAAUGGGCUGGGUCAAAGGUUACGCCAUAUUCUUGGCAACCUGGGGAAAAAACAGCUACAUUUGUCCCAAGCUGCCAUGUUCAUGUUUCACCCAAUCCUCAAAAAAGGAGGGAAAGCAAGCACACAUGUCAACAAAUAACUAAUGCAUAGUAAUAAUGCGUAGUAAUAAUGCAUAGUAAUAAUGCGUAGUAAUUAAUAUUUUUUUGUUGUUGAAUUCUUCAUACUGACCUGUUGACAUGUGUCUGCCUCUUCAGGUUUUGGCUUUCAGUUGCUGGUGGACAUCAUUUGCCUCUGCUCCGUCUCUCACGUGGUGCAGCUCAGUAGUGGGGAUAAAGUCAUGUGCCCCCAACUCACCCCUGAGUUCCUGAGGUCAUCACAUGGCUGGCAGACACACCCUCCUGCCCAGUCAGCCCUGGGGGAGGACAACUCUGAAUCCCAUCCUCUCCAGUGGAGAUCCUCUAUUUAGUAUUCACCCACGUUUGAAGGAGUGGGGCGCCCGGGCGAAAUGAGACACCACUGUAGCAAUGAGCAGCGUGACCUGGCUCUGCUGGGCUACUUCAGCCAGCUGCAGUCCCCUGAACCAGGCUCCGUACCAGCACUGGUGGGGGUUGUGAUGCACUGUGAGGUAGCACCAGCUCAUGUGCUCUACGCUGCCAAUGCCUGUGGUGAGGCUGUGCUUUCUGAAUGAGAAGGUAUCAGGCAGGGGAGGCCCAGUUCUACUCUCUCAAACCCCUGUCUGUCCCUGCGUGGGAUUUGCCUCCUCUGACAUGCUAGUCUGUCACUAUUCCGUGUGGACAACUGUCAUCUAUCUAGCCGAGAACAGUAAUAAAGUUCGGCAUCUCCCCAUCAUGGAUGAAUAACUCUUCGAAUGGAUGGUGUGAUGGAGGGAUAACAAAGCUCUAAGCAGGUGUCCUUUGGGGGUGUGGACAUGGCACGUGGCCUGUACACCUGUAGCUCCCUCAGUCCUCCGUCAGGUCAACAGUCUUCUGCUGGGUGCUGUCACACUGCCCAACAUCCUCUUCACAGGACAGGAAUUGUGGGAGAGCCUCCCUACGUCACAAUAGACUACAACUUUGAGCUAACCGGGGCUGGGAAGAUUCACGUCUUCAAGGGGCUUGCAAGACCUGACCAGAUGAAUAACGCAAAGUGAUUGUUUUUGUGAGAAGAGACAAUGGUUUCACAGCAAGAAAUCUGAAAUCUGAAUAUUUUUUACCUUCCUUGUUUACUGACUUCAAACACCAAGGCCAGAGUCAAGGCCGUUGAAUGUACAGAUGUACAGAACAUAAAGUUCCGGAGAUAGGACUGUGGAGUUGAGUGACUUAAAGCGGCAGGGUAGCCUAGUGGUUAGAGCGUUGGACUAGUAACCGAAAGGUUGCAAGUUCGAAUCCCCGAGCUGACAAGGUACAAAUCUGUCGUUCUGCCCCUGAACAGGCAGUUAACCCACUGUUCCUAGGCCGUCAUUGAAAAUAAGAAUUUCUUCUUAACUGACUUGCCUAGUAAACUAAAAUAAAAAUACGCUCCAGAUCACUCUUCUCAAGACUGCCAUAGCUAUGAUGGCCACCUUCUUGUAUGGGUCAAUUGGGUUGACCUUGGUCUUCAAUCACCAGAAUCGGAUUGGCCAGUGAUAUUCAUUAGUUCAGGAUGACUGUUUCAAAGUGUUUCUAUCACAUGGACAAUAUCUAGACAUGCAGUUAAAUGUCUGCAUCUGAAAUAGCACCAUAUGACCUAGUGCACACACAAGUAGUGCACCAUAUAGGGAAUAUGGUGCCAUUUCGGACACAAGCUAGGUUUCCAUCCAAUUGGCGACAGAUUCCAUCAAACUGACUUAUUGUGGAUAUAGAGGCUAGGCUGUGCGUGAUGAUCAGUGGUGAUUUUUGCAGAUAAAUCUUGGUGGGGCACACUCUGAAAAAUGUUUUUAGAUGCAUACCAGCAAAUCCACUACACUAAACAAUACAUUAAUUGCAUUAUAACGGUGACAAAUGGUGCCCACAAACUGACCUACUUAAAGCUGUCCUGACAGCAGAGCUUUCUUUUCAGCACCAUGGAGCGAGCUAGGAUGGACAUAGUCAAUAUAACUAUUUGUUCAGCACUUUUGAAAUGUACAGCGUCAGAAUUCAGAACAUGGGCCUUUCUUACAGUAUUCUCCCUGUACUCCAAGUCAGAACCGUAGGAUAAAUAUAGGGGACAUUUAAGCAGACAAUGAAAGCUCUUACAAUAUUUGAUGAUUACAUUUCUCUAAAACAGGCUAUAGGCUACAUGUGCACCUCCAAGUCAGAACAGUAGGCUAAGUUAUGAGGGGGAAAGGGAACAAAUUAUUUGGGUGAAGCGCAUGCACUACUAACAGCUUACUACACAACAUACACUUAGUAUUACUUUCUUAGCUACAGUAUACAUAUCUCCCUGGCAUAUUACAUAAUUUAUGCAGCAGCAUACAAUACAUUUUUGGACUCACAUUGUGCUCUGCUAACAUGAACAGGAAGGUGGUGUGACGAUCCUUGUGGGCAAGGAUCUAUAUAUAUAUAUAGCCUGUUUCACAUGUUAUUUUGGCAUUAAUACGUGUCACAUGUCAGUUUGCAAACAAUCAACAACAAAAAAAUCCUUAAGUUAAUAAAGUCGCAUACCACGUUUGUAUCUUUUGAUGCUACAUAAAAUCAGAGAAUGCCAGACUAUAUAGUACAUGUCAAAAGUUUGAACAACACAUUCAAGGGUUUUUCUUUAUUUUUACUAUUUUCUACAAUGUAGAAUAAUAGUGAAGACAUUGAAACUAUGAAAUAAGACCUAUGAAAUCAUGUAGUAACCAAAGUAGCCACAGUUUGCCUUGAUGACCGCUUUCCACACUCUUUUCCAACAAAUACUUUGUUUUGAAAAACUGUUGCAGGUCAAUGUGUCAAUAAGUUAUGAAUCCAUAUAGCACCCAUCCCCCCAGUUAAAGUGAUGAUAUACAAUAUGAGUACUUUCUACAUGUUUGGUUUGUCCAAAAAUAAUAUUUGGCCAAACUACAGGUUCAUUAUUUACAAGUGAUAUUAAUUAAUUGUCCGGACUAGGACAUGAAAGUGCUUGUAGGGGUCUUUGCUGACAAUGAAAAGCAUUAAAAGAAAAUGGAAUGUAACUUGCUCAACAAUCCAUCUCUCGAGCUAUUGUAUAGCACCUAUUGAUAUAUUCCAGAGCAAAUAAAUAUAAGCUCUACACAGCAAUGCGUCCAGUUUCUGGUAUAUAUUUUGUUUUUGGUCAAUAAAAAAAAAAUCACUGAAUAGUAGUGCACCAUGGAUUGUUAGACAGUAUUCCAUCCACGUUUCUUUUUUAAAGCAAGUAAUGGCUGUUGAUGUUUCAAUAAACAUCUCUAUGUUGCAUUUAUUUCUUAGAGUACUGGAUUACUGCACAUUGAUUUACCUAUUUAGGAAUCUGACCUUGUAACAAAAUGUGAACUAUGUCAUUGAUUUAUGAAUGGUACGAUUAAGGAGAUCAGUCUAUCUUCCAGAAUUGAAAUGAGACUUACAACCACAUUAAGAACUCCAGGGAAGGAUUGUUACCAAUACUCUAUUCUCUCUUUUUCCAUCUGUCUUUCUCUCUUUCCCUUGCUUUCUCUUAUCGCUCCUGUUUCAUCAGGAGUUGUUUGGCAGAAGUUGGAAAUGGGCCUAAAUAAAACAAUUUCA
ensembl:lncRNA